rnacentral:rRNA from 1 species
UACGAGGGGAGCAAGCGUUGUUCGGAUUUAUUGGGCGUAAAGAGCGUGUAGGCGGUUCGGUAAGUCUGUCGUGAAAUCCUGAGGCUCAACCUCGGGCGUGCGAUGGAUACUGCCGGGCUAGAGGGUGGUAGAGGCGAGUGGAAUUCCCGGUGUAGCGGUGAAAUGCGCAGAUAUCGGGAGGAACACCAGUAGCGAAGGCGGCUCGCUGGGCCACACCUGACGCUGAGACGCGAAAGCUAGGGGAGCGAACAGG